rnacentral:rRNA from 1 species
GAUGAACGCUGACGGCGUGCCUAAUACAUGCAAGUCGAGCGAACGGACGAGAAGCUUGCUUCUCUGAUGUUAGCGGCGGACGGGUGAGUAACACGUGGAUAACCUACCUAUAAGACUGGGAUAACUUCGGGAAACCGGAGCUAAUACCGGAUAAUAUUUUGAACCGCAUGGUUCAAAAGUGAAAGACGGUCUUGCUGUCACUUAUAGAUGGAUCCGCGCUGCAUUAGCUAGUUGGUAAGGUAACGGCUUACCAAGGCAACGAUGCAUAGCCGACCUGAGAGGGGGAUCGGCCACACUGGAACUGAGACACGGUCCAGACUCCUACGGGAGGCAGCAGUAGGGAAUCUUCGGCAAUGGGCGAAAGCCUGACGGAGCAACGCCGCGUGAGUUAUGAAGGUCUUCGGAUCGUAAAACUCUGUUAUUAGGGAAGAACAUAUGUGUAAGUAACUGUGCACAUCUUGACGGUACCUAAUCAGAAAGCCACGGCUAACUACGUG